CACUCCCGCGACGCCGGCAGCCGCGGGCCCUAGGCCUGCUGGACCCUGGGAGGUAGCUCGGUUCCUGUGCGGAGCCGCCUGGGCCGGCGGACGGUGAUCCUGUGGGGAGGCCGGCGGAUGGGCGCCAGGUCCCACCCCUGAGGCUGGGCGCGGGGACGCGGCCAGGAGGGUCGGAAGGCGCCUGGAGCCCAGGCCAAGGAAGGGGUGGACGGUGCGCGGGGGAGCGGGAACGCGAAACCCAGGGACGCAGGAAGGCGGUCAGGAAGGGCUGGUGGCCUCUGAAACCUCCGGGACCAUGGGUCACCCUCGGGCCCAUCCGCCUUUCCUGCCGCCUUCCGACCCCCCUUCCCAACCCCUCACCUCCUCCACCUCACCUGAUUCUUCACUCCCACCUUACCGCGCCCGUCAGCCCCCGUGCUGUCCUUUCCAGACAAAGCCCAGGGCCCUUUUUCCUCUAGGCCCCAUCCACUGGCCUUCCAGAAUCCAGCGCCAUAGCCCCCAGGUGGCCCAUCACCCACCGUCCUCUCUGCACCCUUAGGCUCCCUUCUUUGCCUCCCCGCAGGUGGGCUGCCCUUCUUGUUCUGUGUAACUGGAAGAAGUAAAUGCAGCUUCCAGAGCGUCCACAACCUUCUCUCCAUCCUACUCCCUGCUCCUCCUACAGAGGAGGCCUUCUCUUCCCCUCUCCCCUGGGUGCUUCGUGUCAAUACACAGACACCCAGGAGUCGCUCCUUGCUUUUGACACAAGACACUCCAGGUUCCUUUUGUACUUUCCCUGCCCCAACCCUGAACUAGGUCAGUUCCCCAGCAGCCCUGGUUGAGCUAGUGGCAGGAGUCGGGAGAGGCCAGGAUCCAGGUGCUGCCUGAGUGCUCACUGCCACUGGGGUAUCCCUGAUUCUAGUGCCCACCAGGAGUCAGCUGGUGGGAGCAGACAUGUCCACGUGCACACACCUAUAUGUGCACACAGCCACAUGGAUAUCCUCAGGUGUCUUCCUAAGAGUGAUGGAGCAUGGAGCACAUUCAGUGCCAGGGGACAAUGGAAAGGCAGAGGGGCAGGGGUUUGGGGCAUUGGCAGGUGGGUCCCAGACUCUGAGGGUCAGAGGCUGUCUUCAGAUCCAACAGGGCUGGUGCCACCCAUUAAUUCCCGCCUCAGUCAAGGAUUUAAAGUAGAAAUGAGAAGAGCGGGUGAGUUAGAGGGGACACAGAGGCAGCAGCAAGGCUUCCCCAGGUGAGUGAGGGGACAGUCAUUUCUACAGAGACCUCUGCUGCUGUGGGACCUUCAGGCCCAGACCCUGCCCUCCUGGUCUCUGCAUGCCUGGCCCAGGGCCUUGGUCGGGGAGGUCAGACUGGGCAUCACAGGCACUGUCAAGGCUGGGCCUUGAGGCCAUCCAUGCAGUUGGGCCCAGAACCAUGGGGAAAAGCCACACGUGAAGUCACCAGCCCAGUGCUUGCCCCAGCCUUCCACCUUGGAGGUGCAGCCCCAGGGAUUGCAUGUCAUCUGAAGGCAUUUGGGGUGAUGUGGGACCUUCUCUGAGACUUACCCUACAACCCUGACAGAAAUCCUCAUUUAUGUGUUUAUGGAUGGGGUGUGAGGGGCAAAGUUGAGCCAGGGAGGAGGCUGCCACCUGACUCUGUUGCCUUCGGAUAUGCACAGUCAGGCCUCUGGCCCUGGGGACAGGUGCCUUAGACCUUGGCCAAACCCACCGGGAACCCUCAGGAGCUUCCAGACUCCAGCCAGGGCCCCUCCCUGCAGAUGAUAAGGAGCCAGCCUUCCCCUUUGUACCUUAGAAGGUCCAAAGGGCCCAGCCUCUGUCCUCCCUGACCCACCCUCCACCUCUUUCAUCCCAGGCCUUUGUAAUUUUUGGUUCACAUCUGCCACCCAGCCCCCUCCACAGUGGGGCAAAAAUCCUUCAACCAGGAGCCCAAGGCUUCUCCUGAUCCCUUCCCGCGACACCACCUUCUCCACAAGGAUCAUAGACAUCUCCUGCCAAGGGCCAGGCCAGCGGUCAGCUGCAGAGCUGAGCAGGGCCCCAGGGUGGAGGCACUGCCCAGGAUCUGGCUUGGUGCCCAGCCUUCUCUCAAAACCCAGGGAGCUUGGAUGUAUAACUCGGAUGCCCCUCCCCAGUCUGCUCUUCAGCAGGAAAUGGUCUAACGGGAAAGUAGGUCUUUUUAAAUCUGAAUUAUUCAAACAAUCUGUGCACGUGACUGGGACCCAAAGCAAGGCCUGGACGCACCCAGGUGCCUCUCUCCAGCCAGGCUUUGAAGGCUCUUUCUCACAGCUGCAGAGUGACUCUCCAUAUCUGGAUACAGUAAGAGGGCAGGAGUGGAGAGGCCACUGCCCCUUUGUCCUGCUGGGUAUCUGUCCCUGUCUUGCUCAACACUCUGGUCCACCAUGCGGACCUCCACAUUGCCUCCAGGAGGUGAGAUGGAGCCUGGCCCUGCCUCCACACUGCAAAGGACAGGGAGGAACAUGUGAUACCCAGGGGAUGCCCAGGGGAUGCAGAAUGUAGGUGACCAAGAGGAAAGCUUUAAUUAGUUCCUGCAGUCGACCUAAGGCAGGGUCUGGUGAAGGAACAGGGCCACACUCCGGGAGAGACCACACUCCUCCCUAACCCUUGGCACUCUGCCCAAGUGCACUAGGAAUGGGCAGGCCCAAGGCCCUUACCUCAAGAGUCCUGUCCAGCCACACAGCUGUCAGCUUGCUGGAAGGGAUGAGGAGGAAUAUGGGGAGAGCUGGGUGGGCAGCUCUAUGUGGACUGGUUAGUGAGACAGUAAGGGUGUAGACUGGAGAGACCUGGUGGUGAGUGGCCUGCAGACCAGGGGAGGAUGGUGACCAGAUGGGAGUGCCUGGCGAGGUCACAGGUGUGCCUUCAGGAGGAUGCUAUGCCGCAGAGCUAGGGCGGGGCCUCAUUGCCUCCUGAGCCUCAGGGAGGAGGCCAGUGCUGCCUGUGGCCCCCAGCAGACCUUGAAGGACCCCUGAAGUCCUCCCCACAAGUACAGGGAGCCAGCGUCUGUCCCAGCCUCCCAUCCCACUGGCUCUGACCCUCCUGGUCUCCCACCUCAGUCAUAGGCCAGACAUCCCUGUGCAAGGGCACCAAAACAUGGAAGACAGCAGGAAACCGUGCAGUGCCAGGUGGGGCAGAGGGCAUGUUUCUCCCUCCCCCAGAGUUGGACCAGAAGCCUAGGGAAAGUCCAGGCAGCUCCUUGGGGCUGACGGUGUUGCCCAGCCGAUCCGAGACUAGGACUCAGGUGUGCAGCUCGGACCUGGCCAGAGGGGGCUGCCUCUAGGAGCCAGGCGAGAGGAUCUGCUCUCCUCUCUGGGCUUCCUGUAGUGGGCAUGCCCCCUGGAACCGCAUGUGGGGAGAUACCCGAGUCCUGACUCCACCCAGUGUCACCCUCAUUCCUGGUGUAAAACACGAAACUCUCUAAUGGAGAAAGAGGUAUCCAUGAGCAGGCAAAGCAGAAUCCCUGCAUGAAACACAGGAGUCAGGUAGCAAGUGGUAGAAGCUUAAACCAGCUUGUGUGGAAGUGGGAAAUUGAGUGGCAGAUAUCUGGGCGUCCGGUACAGCUGGAUCCAGGCCCUUAGUGAGGAGUCAGGGUUCUGUGGCCCACCCUGUUUCUGCUUUCCUGGGUGGUAGCGCCUUCUCUCUGCUUGGCAAGGAAAUGGCUGCCAGCCUCAGGUACCCUCACCCCUGGAAGAGCACCACAGAAGACUCUCAGAUGUCUGUAUGUUAACCCCAUAAGGACUCCAGACAGCUCCCUCAGGUUCCUGUGGCCCUGGUGGCAGGGAAGGGAGGGGCCGUAACUAAGGGCUCUGUCGGGUCAAUGUGGAACACCCAGCACAAAGGCAGGAGGUGGGAGGUUGCUGGAUGGCGGAAGAAGCAGCCCAGGUGGUCCCCGCCUGCUUGGUGGCUAAAACCUGGGUUUGGCUCCAGCUGAAAUGCUUCGCUGGUUGUUGGGUUUAUAGCUGAGGUUAGUUUGACUGACUAACACCUGCGGCUCUGACUGCCCUCUCUCGGAGCCCUGGGCCUGACUGCAGGGGUGAGGCAUGACCUUGACAAGGUCAGCCAAGGCAUCUCUGAGACACUGGCUUCUCAAAGUGUCCACCUAGCUGCAGAGACAAGGGACAGCUGGGAGAACACAGCCCAGGGCCUCUCCUCCUCACUGAGGCCAGGAACCCCCUGGCCUGAGGGGUUACUGGGGUGAAGCCCUGGGGUGCAGCAGGCCCAAGUCUUCCCUCCCCAGACAUCCUCGGGAGCAUCUUCUGGGGUAGGGGUACUAUGGACCCAAACACAGAUAAAAGGGUAGGGUGGCCACAGCAGGCAUCAGGGACACAAGUGGACAGGGAUGCAGGGACAUACACCUCUGCCCACAGGAGGAAGCCAGGUGGGUGGGCAUCGGGGUGUGUAAAAGGGACGGCCCAGAGGUAGCCACCUAGCUAGGCCUUGGGGCUCUGAGCCUUGGGACAAUUUCUGGGCCCCCAACCUCCUCCUCCCCUACCUCCUGUCACCCGCAGACUCUGGUGUGCUCAGAGAGGGGCCCCUGGGGCAGGUGAGCGGGGACAUACACACCCUGGGUGGGCCAGUGCAGGGGACCCGGGCUUCCUACCCACACCCCAGAGCCCUAAGCCUGGAGCAGGUCACACAGUGACUCCAGGAGCCGGGACAAAGGCAGGCAUGGUUUCGAGGGUCGGAACGGCGCCCAGGAGCUGGCGGGCCUGCUCUCAGGGCUGCUGGACCUGCUGUAGCCUCGGCUCCGUCGGCUUCCCCGCCAGCGCCUUCUUCAGGAAGGGAGCUCCAGCUGGUGUGGGGAUUCGUCCCCCUGGGAUGGUGCCCUGGGAUUGGGCUCCUCCGACGCCUGCCAGGUAAACAGCUUGUACUUGGGGCGCUAGCUGGGGAGCAGACAGACUAGCCCCCAGGCUUCCAUGGGGUCUAGUCCGCGAGGGGCCUGGCUAAGGGGCCACAGGUGCCUCUGACAGCAAAGCCUCCCCAAGCCCCUGCCCAUGGCCCUGUUGGGCCCUGCCAGGUACCUGGGCCGCCCGGAGGGGUCCCAGUGCCUCAGAGUGCUCUGCAACUGCCCUUCACCCAAGAGGUCCGGCAGAACCACCUCCAGUGUUCAUCUGGGGUCUGGCCCAGGCUCCACAGUCAGAGCACGCCUGCGGGUGUUGAUGCCGCAGUGCACCCGGCCCCUGGACACCAAGCAGGCAUGGCCUUUCCCCUGGGCCUCCAUCCUGGCCACUGUCCUCAGCACUCUAGAGAUUCCCGCUGGUCACUCGCAGGCCGCUCUGGCCGGCGCUGUACCCCUUUGGCCUGUGCGGACAUCGCGGUGCCCACCUUCCACUGUUGUGAAUCGAGCCGCGGUAGGACACCUUGCCGAGUUCCUGUCUGAACAUCUACUUACUAUUCUUUGCCUCUUCAUGAGGUGGCUCCACGUUGAACUUACUGGGGACUCCACGUCAGAGGGUCCCACAGCGGCUGCACCGCUUUCCUUCCCACCAGCAGUGCGAGGGGGCCCAAUGUCUACACAUAUGACCAACUUGUUUCCUUUUUAAAAAGAUAAUAGCCAUUCCUGGUGGGCUUGGAGUGGCAUCUCUCCCCGACCAGUAGUGGCCUGCAGUAUUUUCCCUGUGCUUAUUGGCCAUCCCUGGAUCUUCUUUGGAGCAAUGUCUAUUCAAGUCCAUGUUACUCAUCUUUAUGUCUCUGUGACAAAACACCUGGGAAA
rnacentral:lncRNA from 1 species